rnacentral:lncRNA from 1 species
AUCAACAACAUAAAACAUCCUAUAUUAUUACAGCAUUCUCAUUCAUACAUUCUUUUACAUCUCAAUCCUCAUUUUUUUCCUCCAAAUACAAUCUUGGUUAUUACAUCACUUAGAUUACAAGUUUAAUACAUUUUGAUACAUUGUGUUCUUUUCAUUUUCUAUACCCCUAAGCUAUAUCGACGGAGUACCGCUAGCUCUGGUCUCUGGGGUAGGGCGCUAUCUACGGAGCUACGCCCUUUCCUCGCGCCACCGCGCCGCUCUCGUGCAAACCUGUAACACCCCAAAACAAUGUGGGGUGAGAACCAACUCUAUAGUUUUCAGUGGGUACGGCCACCCAAGGAAAAUGCUCGACCAACAGGUCCAAAGGGGCCUAGCGGAAGCCCGCCCGGCGCGUGCCCAGACCCGCCAUACGUCUAACACAUAUAAGGCGUCUAAAACAACGAUAAAUAAAGCAAUAAUAAAAGACAUCUAGGAGUAUCAGAGCAUGAUAUAAUACUAAGAUCUACAAUAGGGCAAGAAACAUAAAGCUGGAAUCCACUAAUAAAAGCAUAAAGCAAUACAAAGGAAAUCCCAAAUACAAGUGCUAAAAGUAGAUACAUACGUGGUCUCUAUACAUGGAUACAAAAUCUCUCACUCUCUCACAACUACAAAGAGAAAGAGUAAACCACCUAGGCAAAGAACCGCUCCUCGCUAGCUAGCUGUGCGAUCCCCUUGCCACGAUCCCGUGCCUCCGCCGGUGCAGAAGGCUGUGAAAGAAACCACGAUAAAGAGGGCGUGAGAACUAUUAAAAGAAUAGUUCCCAGUGGGCAAUUACUGACUUCAGUAAAUGCACCACAAGGCCCAAAGCUACAAGGCAAGAGGUUAGGGACUAACAAUGUAGUAAAGCGAAAGGUAAGCAAAAUGUAAUUUACUAUAACAUAGGGUCUCUACUUAGCAUGAUUUGCAUAAGUAAUAAAGAAACGAUAUCACGAAAGUACAUGGAUGUGUAUGACAUGCAUAAACAUAGAAAUGCGACCAAACCAAUGUCCUCAAUGCAAAAAUAGUAAAGGUGUCAUUGUUUACUAUUCUAGUCCAAGUCCACUUUAAUAGUGUUAAAGUUCACAUAGCAUGUUCUGUCACUAAGUCUCAAUCAUAUAAGACCCACCCGAGGGCUGUCUGGCCUGCGCCUUGCCUAAUGGCCCCGUGGUAGUCAACAUCCCCACUCUAGGGAUGAGCCUUCCCCACGGCAAUCCACUUCGGCGCCCAAUCCCGCACGGGCGAGCAUAUGUCGCGAUGGCUAUCUCCGGAGUGCCGGCUUGUAGGGAGCGACCCUUACAAGCAUGUGCGAAUGAGCACAAUGGCAAGCAAGCAAUGAUCUGUCUCAAGCACCAGGUCCUCAUGUCUAAAACAUGGAAUAUAUCAAGUAUCUCAAUGGCCAAUCUCUAUGUCAUCAUGUCUCUAACAUAGAAUAUAGUAAAUGUACAAUGGCCUAUCAUCAUGUCUCUAAGUUGUAUUUUCAUAGUUUACUAAUUCCAAGUGCCCCUUUAUGACACUUUUGUUCAGCGAGUUCCAAGCAUGGCAUUAAUAUGUUCAUGAUGCAUAAUUCACUCAAUUCUAGUAUGGAGACAUGUUCUCAACUUGCAACACAAAGCACUAUCCACAUUGCAUGCAAUCUACACUUAUAGCUCUACUAUAUGGAGUACAAAUUUUACGAUACAUGAGGCAUGUAUGUUAAGUGUUCUAAAAUUCACAUAAAUCAUGUUUAGCAUGAAUUUGCAUUCAAAAAUACUUUACGAAAAGUUUAGGAGGCAUAGGGGUCAUUUUGCCCCAUUUUCAUGAAGUCAAACCCACCAAUGGUAGACGAAGCCCUUCGUUUGCUCCGACAAAGGUGUCCUCUAGCCUCCUAGCACCCUAGAGGUAUGAAAACAAGUGUCACCUAACCGAAACGAACGCCGCUAAGCUCAAUCAUUAAGCUUCUAUAGCUAGGUUGGAGAAAACUCACCGAAAGCUAAAGAAUCUCUCUCGAUCUCCAAACGGGAGUUAGAAUCCUUCAAAUCCAACCUAAAUCAAAGUUCUAAACCAAUCAAUUUGGUUCCAAAGCCCUCAAAUCAAAAAUCCCCAUUUUUUAACCCUAAUAUGCCAAAUCUAGCGUUUGAUCUAGUAGAAGCUACCAAAACUUAAUCCAAAGAAAAGAUUAGGCUUACCAACCUCACAAGAAGCUCAAAACCAAAUCCCAAACCAAGUGGAGUUGAAGAUCUCCUCUCAAACAAGCUCCUCUACAAGCUCCAAGCCUUCAACAAUGGAGGAAACCCAACAAAAAGCAAGGUGGAGAAGAGAGGAGAGGUCAAAACCAACCAAAAUCCAUCAAAAAUGGAGAAGAAAUCAAAGGGAACUCCUCUUACCUUGCUCUCCACUAUUCUAGGGCUCAAAACAGCCCCCAAGGGGCUGGGGUGUGCUUAAAUAGAAGUUACAACAAUUGCAAAAACACCCCUCCACGAAACAGCCAAAAUGUGUACUGCGUACCGGUACACGGGUUUGUGUACCGGUACACAACCCACGAAACGCCAAACCCGAGCCUCGGGUUUGCUGGGAAAUGGCCUGUGUACCGGUACACAACCCGAUACCGGUACAGCCAUCAACCCCGUACCGGUACAGCAAG